rnacentral:rRNA from 1 species
GGAUUAGAUACCCUGGUAGUCCACGCCCUAAACGAUGCUCACUAGGUGUUGGGGAAGCGAUUCCUUGGUACCGUAGCUAACGCGUGAAGUGAGCCGCCUGGGGAGUACGGCCGCAAGGUUAAAACUCAAAGGAAUUGACGGGGACCCGCACAAGCGGUGGAUGAUGUGGAUUAAUUCGAUGCAACGCGAACAACCUUACCUACCCUUGACAUGUCCGGAAGCCUGCUGAAAGGCGGAGGUGCUCGAAAGAGAACCGGAACACAGGUGCUGCAUGGCUGUCGUCAGCUCGUGCCG